UACGUCGGCAGCAAGCGUUGCUCGGAGUUACUGGGCGUAAAGGGUGCGUAGGCGGUCCUAUAAGUAUGGUGUGAAAUCUCCCGGCUUAACUGGGAGGGUGCGCUAUAGACUGUGGGACUAGAGUGUGGGAGAGGAAAGUGGAAUUCCUGGUGUAGCGGUGAAAUGCGUAGAUAUCAGGAGGAACACCGGUGGUGUAAACGGCUUUCUGGACCAUAACUGACGCUGAGGCACGAAAGCGUGGGUAGCAAACAGG
rnacentral:rRNA from 1 species